rnacentral:rRNA from 1 species
UACGGAGGGUGCAAGCGUUAAUCGGAAUUACUGGGCGUAAAGCGCGCGUAGGCCGCUUUUUAAGUCAGAGGUGAAAUCCCAGCGCUCAACGUUGGAAUUGCCUUUGAUACUGGAGAGCUUGAGUUCGUGAGAGGGUGGCGGAAUUCCUGGUGUAGGAGUGACAUCCGUAGAGAUCAGGAGGAACACCGGUGGCGAAGGCGGCCACCUGGCACGAUACUGACGCUGAGGUG